UAUAUAUAUAUAUAUAUAUAUAUAAAAGAUGAACGACAUAAAUGGUACUUUAAUAUUAUUUGCUUGGUUGGAGGAGAAAGUGACGGAAAUAUCAUUGAAAGAAGUUUUUCAUAGAAAGAUAUUAUCUUUCCUUCCUAAUUUUCGAGCACCAAACAUGGAAAGAAGUUCAACAUAUUUAUAUAUUUAUCUUCUCAUUAAAAGUUUAGAAACAAAAA
rnacentral:lncRNA from 1 species